GGUGGCAACUCUACUGGUCCUUUAAGCAGUCUUAAAGCACAGGUCACUUCUGCAAAAAACAUGAUCAUUUAACCAAUAUAAAUGCAUACACAACUCAAAUGAUUAAGAGCAAUGUGAACGUGGAACCAGAGUUACAUUUUUAUAUAUAUGUCACUAAUUAAUAUUUAUUAUCAACAACUGAACCAUGUGCCAUAUUGGGUUAAAUUGACUGUAUGGUUACAAUGGGCGAUAGCUUUGUUGGUGUUGGUAAAUUACAGAGUUCAGCACCAGUUGUGGAUGCCUAGAAACAAAACCAAUGUCAAGUCCUAUUCUUAGCAACCGUUUAGUUGGUCUUUUGAAAUUUGAAUUGCUAACCUCUUUCCAGCUUCAAAAUUGGGGUCUCUAGAACCUCUGUAUCCAAAUAAACUCCCAGUUAUAACUUUUUCAAUUAAAUUUAUCUUCUGUUUUAAAAACAUGAAUAUAUUCACAAUAAGUGAAUCUAAAAAUGCUGACCAGUUAAAAAAAAAAAAAAACCACAGUUACCCAUUUCAGUAGCAACAGCAUUAAAAUGAAGUUCUUUAACAGGUUUAAUUAACAAUCAAUUAACGUAUUGUUGAAUAAUAUGUAAUUAUAUUUCCAGCAAAACAAUAAAAGUGAAUGGAAAAAUGUUAUUGUGUUUAUUAGCAGCUGAAACUUGUAGAACAACAUGUAGAAAUUUUGCAUAUAAUCUACAUGUACAUUCCCUGUGUGCUUGUGGGGAUAUAAAUAUGAGUGAGUGCAGGCAGGGGCUCAGUGAUCUGUAUCAGGCCUGUGUGCAGUGAUCAGUAUGGUGUCCCACAGCUGCUUGCUGCCUAUACUCAUGCUCUGGCUUCAGGGUUCCUAUGGGCAGAUUGUACUGACUCAGUCUCCAGAUUAUGUCUCUGUGUCACCAGGAGAAACUGUCACCCUCACAUGUAAAGCCAGUAGCAGUGUUAGCAUCAAUCUGAACUGGUACCAACAGAAAUCAGGGCAGGUACCAAAGCUGCUGAUCUAUGAUGCAAGCAACAGAUACACAGGGACCCCAGAGCGGAUCAGCGGCAGUGGGUCUGGAACUGAUUUCACUCUUACAAUCAGCAGAAUGGAAGCAGAAGAUGCAGCAGAUUAUUUCUGUCAGCAGUAUGAUGAGUUCCCUCUCACACAGUGAUACAGAGCUGAACAAAAACCUUCCUCUUUUAUGAAGACAAAUAUAUAAGGGGAAAUAAGCAGCUGACAGUAUCUCGUGGGUACAUGUUAUUAGAGGUUUCUGCACAAGUUACCAGUUCUACUCAUCUCCUUACACAGUUCUAUGGUACUUAUAUAUAUUAAUCAAAAGAGAUCUCUGACACUACAUGCUACAAAGACAAGAGUUCAUCUGCACUCAACCCAUUAUCAAUAAUAAUAUAAUAAUCAGUGAUAAUGGGUUGAGCGCAGAGAAACUCUGGUCUUUGUAUGAAUUUUGUGGUCACAGCCUCAUCGCACCCCCCACCUGAUGGUUUAAAAUUUAGUGGUUUGAACAACUUUCCCUUUGUUACUACAACACACAUAGUCACAUGUGAUGUGUAACAACAAGCCUCCCAACAUUUGAAAAAUAAAAAGAGGGGCAAACAAAUCUGUUGCGGCAAAAUAUGUUUGGUCAUGCCAAUUUUAUGGGCACCCCCCUAAAUACCACAUCCAUUUUACAAACUGUGUCAGGUUAUGGAAAGUUUAGACACAUUUCUGGGGUUUUUAGGGUCAGGUCUAUUGUGUUAUUACAGUUUUACUAAUUAAGGUGAAUUGCCCUUUAAGCUGCAAGUCACAGAUUCUCCAAGAGACCUGCUUAUCUUAAAUAGUUACGGUUGUAUCUUUGCUUAUCUUAAAUAGUUGUAAAUGUAUCUAAGUGCAGCCUUUUAUUUAAUUACAUUUCAUUUGUAUUUUUUUCUGGCUGUACAGUGCAAGAGAUCAAAGAGAAAGUUGGAACAUUUCAGUAACAAUGUGGAAUUGUGGGCUGAGCUGUAAAAUCGGGACUGUCCCAUGAAAACCAGGACAGUUGGGAGGCAUGGAUUAGCUGUCAGGAUCUGCCAGUGAUCAAACUCUGAUUUUUGUGAUUGUUUUGUCCUAUAUUACCCCAGUGAGCCAUUGGAAGCAUCUAGCUCUUGUGCUGACUAGUUUCCAUAACUGGUCUCUAACAUUCUCUUCCGCACGGUGAUUCUGAAUUCUUGCUUGUUCCUGAGUCCUCACCAUUUGUCUUCAGCCUGCCCCAGAUCUCGGCCUGUUUACUAGAUAGUCCUUGUUUGCUGUCUGCCUGUAUUAUGGACCUGUCAUUGCUAGUUACCUGCCUCUAACCACUGGACUGAUAUAAGGACUCAUUUGUCUCUUUGUACUUGCUUCAACAUUGCUGCAUUCUUGUUCUUCAUUAAAUCUUCUAUUCUCCAUUG